rnacentral:rRNA from 1 species
UAAGCAUAUCAAUAAGCGGAGGAAAAGAAACCAACUGGGAUUGCCCUAGUAACGGCGAGUGAAGCGGCAACAGCUCAAAUUUGAAAUCUGGCCCUCUUCGGGGGUCCGAGUUGUAAUUUGCAGAGGGCGCUUUGGCGUCGGUAGCGGUCUAAGUUCCUUGGAACAGGACGUCACAGAGGGUGAGAAUCCCGUAUGUGAUCGCCUACCUUCGUCGUGUAAAGCCCCUUCGACGAGUCGAGUUGUUUGGGAAUGCAGCUCUAAAUGGGAGGUAAAUUUCUUCUAAAGCUAAAUACCGGCCAGAGACCGAUAGCGCACAAGUAGAGUGAUCGAAAGAUGAAAAGCACUUUGGAAAGAGAGUCAAAUAGCACGUGAAAUUGUUGAAAGGGAAGCGCUUGCAGUCAGACUUGCCCGCAGUUGCUCACCCCGGCUCUUGCCUGGGGCACUCUUCUGCGGGCAGGCCAGCAUCAGUUUGGGCGACCGGAUAAAGGCCUCUGUCAUGUAUCUUCCUUAGGGAUGACCUUAUAGGGGAGGUGUAAUGCGGCCAGCCCGGACUGAGGUCCGCGCUUUUGCUAGGAUGCUGGCGUAAUGGCUGUAAGCGGCCCGUCUUGAAACACGGACCAAGGAGUCUAACAUCUAUGCGAGUGUUUGGGUGUCAAGCCCGGGCGCGCAAUGAAAGUGAACGGAGGUGGGAACCCUCGGGUGCACCAUCGACCGAUCCUGAUGUCUUCGGAUGGAUUUGAGUAAGAGCAUAGCUGUUGGGACCCGAAAGAUGGUGAACUAUGCUUGAAUAGGGUGAAGCCAGAGGAAACUCUGGUGGAGGCUCGCAGCGGUUCUGACGUGCAAAUCGAUCGUCAAAUUUGGGCA